rnacentral:rRNA from 1 species
UACGGGGGGGGCAAGCGUUGUUCGGAAUUACUGGGCGUAAAGGGCUCGUAGGCGGCCAACUAAGUCAUACGUGAAAUCCCUCGGCUUAACCUGGGAAUGGCGUUUGGGACAGGGAGUCUGGAGUGCGGCAGAGGAGACUGGAAUUCCUGGUGUAGCAGUGAAAUGCGUAGAUAUCAGGAGGAACACCGAUGGCGAAGGCAGGUCUCUGGGCUGACACUGACGCUCAUGCACGAAAGCGUGGGGAGCAAACAGG